rnacentral:rRNA from 1 species
AACGAACGCUGGCGGCAUGCCUAACACAUGCAAGUCGAACGAGAUCUUCGGGUCUAGUGGCGCACGGGUGCGUAACGCGUGGGAAUCUGCCCUUUGGUUCGGAAUAACAGUUGGAAACGACUGCUAAUACCGGAUGAUGACGAAAGUCCAAAGAUUUAUCGCCAGAGGAUGAGCCCGCGUAGGAUUAGCUAGUUGGUGUGGUAAAGGCGCACCAAGGCGACGAUCCUUAGCUGGUCUGAGAGGAUGAUCAGCCACACUGGGACUGAGACACGGCCCAGACUCCUACGGGAGGCAGCAGUGGGGAAUAUGGGACAAUGGGCGAAAGCCUGAUCCAGCAAUGCCGCGUGAGUGAUGAAGGCCUCAGGGUUGUAAAGCUCUUUUACCCGGGAUGAUAAUGACAGUACCGGGAGAAUAAGCUCCGGCUAACUCCGUGCCAGCAGCCGCCGUAA